rnacentral:rRNA from 1 species
GCCAGCAGCCAUAUCACCCUGCAGCUCCCAGCUGGCAGCCCCACUGGAGCUCAGCAGGUGUGAGGCUGGUCAGUACCUGGAUGGGAGACUCCUGGGAAAGCUAAGGCUGCUGCUGGAA